rnacentral:misc_RNA from 1 species
GUAAUUAUUAAGUUUUUUCAGACGCUGAUUGAAAAUUAAAAAGGUUAUAGUUUUGUCCAAUCGGCGGGCAAGCCCGCCGAGGAAACAUGAGUGCGCAAAAGACAAGGGUACAGACAGAGGGCCGGCCGCUCAUCAGUAAAUGAAUACUAUGCGGAGUUACAGCACCUCCCGACCAGUAGCAAGCUACUGAAUGUAAUGAUCCUUCCGCAGGUUCACCUACGGAAA